CCUACGGGUGGCUGCAGUGGGGAAUAUUGCACAAUGGGCGCAAGCCUGAUGCAGCCAUGCCGCGUGUGUGAAGAAGGCCUUCGGGUUGUAAAGCACUUUCAGCGGGGAGGAAGGCGGUGAGGUUAAUAACCUCAUCGAUUGACGUUACCCGCAGAAGAAGCACCGGCUAACUCCGUGCCAGCAGCCGCGGUAAUACGGAGGGUGCAAGCGUUAAUCGGAAUUACUGGGCGUAAAGCGCACGCAGGCGGUCUGUCAAGUCGGAUGUGAAAUCCCCGGGCUCAACCUGGGAACCGCAUUCGAAACUGGCAGGCUAGAGUCUUGUAGAGGGGGGUAGAAUUCCAGGUGUAGCGGUGAAAUGCGUAGAGAUCUGGAGGAAUACCGGUGGCGAAGGCGGCCCCCUGGACAAAGACUGACGCUCAGGUGCGAAAGCGUGGGGAGCAAACAGGAUUAGAUACCCGAGUAGUC
rnacentral:rRNA from 1 species